ACCUGAGCCGAAAGCAGAGGCUUAACCCACUGAGCAAACCCAGCCGCCCUCUUUCAUACCCUCUCUUAAUUUGUCCUGCACUUGAUUCUCGUUGGGCUAUCUUUGACAAGGGGGUUUUGCUUCUGGUUGCCAUCGGAACCCCGUUGGUGAACUGAGGCAGGAUUGCUGGAACCUAUGAACUGGUGAGAACCGGGUGAAAUACAACCCAGUGUUCACCUCGGAGCUUCUGAAUGAGUGAUCCAGCCCAAGGAAUGACUGAUUAACUAUUCAUCUGGUUGUUUGGAUGUCCAUUUAAAAGCUGUGGGGCACAGGCAUAUUCUGUUUGGUUUUUUUUUUCCAGAAGAAAAAGAGAUAAAGUAGAAAUUAGAUCCUAGUUCAGUAUUUACCAAGGAAGUGCACAUUAUCAAAGCAAAGCACCCGAUUAUACAUGUCAUCUUUAUUGGUGACUAGUUUUUCAAUUUAGUAGUUUUUCAGAAACCAAUCCAAAUACUUUCCCAUGCUUCUAAGGAAUGUAAACAUGUACUUACAGACUCUAAGUUGUAAUUUGUGUGAAGCCUCUUUUUGUUGUUCGCGAUUGUAUUUAUGCCUGAUAAUCUCAUUGGGACACAAUGUAUAUAGGCUUUUCAUUAGUAUCACUUAAAGAUUUCAUAUCUCAUUGGCAUGUUCUUUUCAACUCUAGGACUUUCUUGGGGGCCACACCUUCGCAUGCUAAAAUCAGGAUGUGUACAUCGUAAUAUCUGAAAACCUCUCCUAUAGCAUUUCCCGUUCGUUCUAACUCUCACCUCUCACUCCUUCCCCUGCUACUAGUUACUAGUUCUGUGCGGUUUCUGGGCCAUUUUAGAACUGCGGAAACAGGGAGAGGGCGCGCCCGACGGAUGGAGAACCCUUAAUGAUGUUGCAAAAACGGGAGAAUAAGAACGUGACAGCUAAGACAGAAGAUGUGUCCCCCCUUCCUCUUUGUUUUGAACGCGGCUCUGGGAAUGACUGACAGCUGGAAGUUUGACAGGACUCUCCCACCGUGUCUUAAGAAAUUCUUUGAUCUCUCCGGUAUCUUUUAUGACAAAGGCCCUUCCUGCCAACAUGUCAGGUUUGUUCCAGAAGAUAAAGCCAGGAACACAGUCCUCUACGUCUUGCCAGCAGAUGGGAUUUAGUACAGCAGGGACGCAGAAAGCUGGAAAGCCGAGCAGGGAGCAAUGAGUGUUCAAAAUGAAGUAUAAAACAUAGGAAACUUGGGCCACCCUGGACAACCUAGUGCUCUGGUGUUUGUCUACAGCUUACAUUUCUGUCAGUGGAAAGCGGAAAUAAAGGACGUGUAUGCUGGAUGUCUCGGGCGAUAACCAUCAGGCUGCCGUCCACGCUGAAGAGCAAUGAUCACCGGGGGUCUGCAGACCCCCAGAGUCACGGCGAGGACAUGAAAGGAAGGGAAGGAGAGAGAGACCAAGAAAGGGAGACACAGAUCUCUUAUGUGCUAAAAACAAAGAAGAACCUCAUAACCGAUGUGUAAAACUCCUAGAUGUCACCGAAGAAUCAAAUGUAAGACUUCUCUGAAGGAUUACUGCCACUUCUUAAAGUACCCAAGCAUUCCACAGGGAGGCUAUAUCCUAACUGAAAAAAUGCUCACCAAGACCAAAUCAAGGAAGUGGUCCACAAAACGGGAGAAUCGACAGCUACAUGUGGGAAGAACAGCACCACAAGAAUAUGAGAUAACCUAAGAGUCUAAAGCUAACUAUAAAUUUAAGUACAUUUAUAAUCAUGAAGGAGAUAAAGGGAGAAAUAAAAAGCCCUCCUGGAAAAAAAAAAAACAAACAAGAAAAGAAUUGGCAGUUAUGACAAUCCAGUAGAACAAUUCAAAAUGAAACACUGUGAAUAACAUUCAGCAAUGACCACCUUUGAGGGUGGUAGGCACAGUUAAAGAGAAAAGUGAUGAUAUGGAAGAUACAUCUGAGGAAAUUACCCAGAGUGUGGCAGAGAAAGACAAACAACUAUGAAAUCAAAAUGACAGGUUUAGAGAUAUAAAGGAUUAAAGUAGAAGUUUGAAUUUAGCUUCUGAAAUAGGAUUUCAGAAACAAAAGUGCAAACAGGGCAAUGCUUUCCAUGAAACAGCUAUGAAUUGUUCAGAAGUAAGAAAAGUCCUGAGACCUCACACAGAAGCAGCCCACUGAAUCUGGCACAUAAUCUGGUAGAUUCCUCGUAGGAAAAGCAGAACACUGAAGCAAACACUAACUGAAGAGCCAGUAGAGACAACAGAUAACACAGAACAGAAUAAUCAUUAGAGUAGGGGACACAUCGGCAAAUGGAGACCAGAAAACUAAUCUGUCUGAGCAUCAGAAUCCCCUGAGAAGUACAUGAAAAUAGUCUUUUGGUUUUACCCAGAUGCUUCGGCUGGUGGUCAAGAGUGAGUAUGUGUUAAACAAAACAAAACACCAAGAUUUCUGGAAUGAUCAAGUAGAUUUAAAACCCUCUUAUUCCUGAGCACCAAAUACCUACACUCGUAUGUAUACAUUCACAUUUUCACUACAGUGAUCUCAGGUGUGUGUUAGUGAAAUUUUCCCCACCCCUAAAAACCAUGGAGACAUUUGAUCCAAAACCAAGGAUAAUUUCUAAAAAUUUUCCCCCCAAUCUCUUGGAGUUUCAUGCUAAAUGGUGCCAGAAGAUGAUCUCCAAAGAACAAGGCAAGGGAGUUAACACAAGCAUCUCUGACCUCACGAUUCCUCAACGUUCCUACUUCUGUUUCCUCUAGUAUAUGUAUGUCUGAGCAUCAGAGGACACGGCAUUCAGCCUCAGACCUCCAGAAUCCUGGGUGCAUGUUUGAGAAGGAUAAAUAGCCUGCAUUUGAGAGCAUGUGGUGAGACAUGAUUCCUAGCUUACUUUGUAUUUCGUAUUAAAUGCAAAAAGACACCUUAAUACACUAACAGCAGAAAUUCAGUCUAUUUUGCCUUUAUGGACAUCUGUUCUCAGACUACUGGUUGUUUACCUAACUGCUAUAAUAAAGGCUAAUUUCUACAUUAAA